rnacentral:rRNA from 1 species
GACGAACGCUGGCGGCGUGCUUAACACAUGCAAGUCGAACGAUGAAGGAAAGAAUCGAAGCUUCGGCAGAAAUUCAUUUCUGAUUAAUGCCAGACGGGUUAGUAAGGCGUGAGCAACCAACUCCUUAAAAGGGCAUUGCUUCGGCAAACGGGGUGAAAUAGCAAAUAACAUUUUUUCGAACCAUUUGCUUUCAGCCAAGGCUAGGUCGGUAAAAGUUGGUCUUGGGGCCCAUUAACCGGAUGGUGAGGUAACGGCUCACGAUAGUGAGGAUGAGUACCCGGACUGAGAGAGUGAACAGUCACACUGGAACUGAGACACGGUGCAGAAUUCUACGAGAGGCAGCAGUGGGGAAUAUUGCACAAUGGAGUGAACUCUAAUGCAGCGACGCCGCGUGAGUGAUGAAGGAAUUCGUUUCGUAAAACUCUGUUCUAUGGGAAGAAAAGGACUGUACCCUAGGAGAAAGCUCCGGCUAAAUACG